CCUACGGGAGGCAGCAGUGAGGAAUAUUGGUCAAUGGACGCAAGUCUGAACCAGCCAUGCCGCGUGCAGGAUGACGGCUCUAUGAGUUGUAAACUGCUUUUGUACGAGGGUAAACCCCGAUACGUGUAUCGGGUUGAAAGUAUCGUACGAAUAAGGAUCGGCUAACUCCGUGCCAGCAGCCGCGGUAAUACGGAGGAUCCGAGCGUUAUCCGGAUUUAUUGGGUUUAAAGGGUGCGUAGGCGGUUUGAUAAGUUAGAGGUGAAAUGUCGGGGCUCAACCCCGAAACUGCCUCUAAUACUGUCGGACUAGAGUGUAGUUGCGGUAGGCGGAAUGUAUGGUGUAGCGGUGAAAUGCAUAGAGAUCAUACAGAACACCGAUUGCGAAGGCAGCUUACCAAACUAUAACUGACGUUGAGGCACGAAAGCGUGGGGAGCAAACAGGAUUAGAUACCCUUGUAGUC
rnacentral:rRNA from 1 species